UUCAUUUGGAUUGUUACUACAAUCGUGUUAUUAAGCGUAAUGCUGUACGAAAGAUUUAACGCAUUAUCACAACAGUUGAGUUUGUUUGUAACCCAAAAUCCAAAAUACGAAAUUAACGAUAUAAUGCGAAAACACUUGGAGCUGUGCGAAUUAAUUCAAGAAAUGAGCGAUAAAUGGGGUAAUACUUUGUUAAUUAUUUACGGAAUUGGCGCUUAUCUUAUGUGCUUUGCUGUCUAUAACACAAUAUUCACUACAUCAGCUACAUACCUACGAAGUUUUUCUUCUACUUUCUUCCAUUCUCGGCAUAUGCUCGGUAGUGUCACUUUCAUUUGUGAUAUCUCGUAUCUUUGUAUCGGCUUACGAUUCUUUUCAAGAAAUUAGAAAAUUUAACUUGAUUCCUCUUCCGUUGAAAGUCAAUCUGAAGAUAUUGAAUUUUAUGAAAAAAUUUGGCGAAAUCGAAAUUGGAAUCAGUUGUGGAGGUUAUUUGAUUCUUUCUACAGAAUUUCCAAUUCAGAUGUAUGAAUCGCUGUAUAGUGUUUUCAACAUAUUACUUAAGUUACGAGAUACCUUCGAAGGAAUCGACAAAUCUUGUAAACCAGCUACUAAUUCAUUGCUUGUUAAUUCCACAAAUAAUCUCAAUAUAUAGUCUAAAACUGUAGAAUAUAUAAAUUGUUUAACACAAU